rnacentral:lncRNA from 1 species
CUUCAAACAAAUUUCCAGCAUGGCUUCCUCAAUGCAACAAGGCUUCCAUCAAUAUUAAAUCUGCAUACAGAAUUUGAAGCUGCAAUCAAUGAUAUUAGGACAUUCUGUUAUAGACUAUAAUUUGUCAAUUUCAGGGUUCUGGAGGUCAGGUCAUCAAGAAGAGCGAUAUCAAGAAACAUAUAUUCCUACUAUAAUACGAAAAUGACAAUGACAUGUUCUGGUUCAGUCAAACUACGAAAAUGAC